GCAUAUCAAUAAGCGGAGGAAAAGAAACCAACAGGGAUUGCCCUAGUAACGGCGAAGUGAAGCGGCAAGAGCUCAAAUUUGAAAUCUGGCCCCUCCGGGGUCCGAGUUGUAAUUUGCAGAGGAUGCUUCGGGUGCGGUCCCCAUCUAAGUGCCCUGGAACGGGCCGUCAUAGAGGGUGAGAAUCCCGUCUGGGAUGGGUGGCCGUGCCCGUGUGAAGCUCCUUCGACGAGUCGAGUUGUUUGGGAAUGCAGCUCUAAAUGGGUGGUAAAUUUCAUCUAAAGCUAAAUAUUGGCCGGAGACCGAUAGCGCACAAGUAGAGUGAUCGAAAGAUGAAAAGCACUUUGAAAAGAGAGUUAAACAGCACGUGAAAUUGUUGAAAGGGAAGCGCUUGCGACCAGACUCGCCCGCGGGGGUUCAGCCGGUACUCGUACCGGUGUAUUCCCCCGUGGGCGGGCCAGCGUCGGUUUGGGCGGCCGGUCAAAGGCCCCCGGAAUGUGUCGCCUCUCGGGGCGUCUUAUAGCCGGGGGUGCAAUGCGGCCAGCCUGGACCGAGGAACGCGCUUCGGCACGGACGCUGGCGUAAUGGUCGUAAGCGGCCCGUCUUGAAACACGGACCAAGGAGUCUAACAUCUACGCGAGUGUUCGGGUGUCAAACCCGUCCGCGCAGUGAAAGCGAACGGAGGUGGGAACCUUUCGGGGUGCACCAUCGACCGAUCCUGAUGUCUUCGGAUGGAUUUGAGUAAGAGCGUAGCUGUUGGGACCCGAAAGAUGGUGAACUAUGCCUGAAUAGGGCGAAGCCAGAGGAAAACUCUGGUGGAGGCUCGCAGCGGUUCUGACGUGCAAAUCGAUCGUCAAAUUUGGGUAUAGGGGGCGAAAGACUAAUCGAACCAUCUGGUAGCUGGUUCCUGCCGAA
rnacentral:rRNA from 1 species